rnacentral:rRNA from 1 species
UCUGGCCCCUCUCGGGGUCCGAGUUGUAAUUUGUAGAGGAUGCUUUUGGCGAGGCGCCGCCCGAGUUCCCUGGAACGGGACGCCACAGAGGGUGAGAGCCCCGUCUGGCUGGCCGCCGAGCCUCUGUAAAGCUCCUUCGACGAGUCGAGUAGUUUGGGAAUGCUGCUCAAAAUGGGAGGUAUAUGUCUUCUAAAGCUAAAUACUGGCCAGAGACCGAUAGCGCACAAGUAGAGUGAUCGAAAGAUGAAAAGCACCUUGAAAAGAGGGUUAAAUAGUACGUGAAAUUGUUGAAAGGGAAGCGCUUGUGACCAGACUUGGGCGCGGCGGAUCAUCCGGGGUUCUCCCCGGUGCACUUCGCCGCGUCCAGGCCAGCAUCAGUUCGUCGCGGGGGAUAAAGGCUUCGGGAACGUGGCUCCCCCGGGAGUGUUAUAGCCCGUCGCACAAUACCCUGCGGUGGACUGAGGACCGCGCAUCUGCAAGGAUGCUGGCGUAAUGGUCACCAGCGACCCGUCUUGAAACACGGACCAAGGAGUCGUCUUCGUAUGCGAGUGUUCGGGUGUCAAACCCCUACGCGUAAUGAAAGUGAACGCAGGUGAGAG